AGGAAGAAGAGAGACUGGUCGGGGAGUCAGAGGUGGGAGUUGCAGGGCAGAGGUCGAAACGCCACCUCCAUGUUCUCCUCCAUGAUGAUGUCAUAACGGCACAUUAGAGGCCUGACAGAGAAGAAGAAGAACAAUUAGUUCUGAGAUGUCUAAAACAGAAUAAAAUCUAAUUUAAGGAACAGGUCUGGGUUCAGCACCGACCUCUCGGGACGCUCCAGCGGAGUGAAGCGUAUCCGCAGCAGUCUGAUUUUGUACCGCGGGCCGAUCACGUUGCCGGUGUUGAUGCGCAUGGAGAUCUUCUGGACCUGCUGCAGGUCCUCAUCGAACUGGGCCAGCAGCCUGGUGGAGGUGUACUGCUCGAACCGGAGGCGCUUACUGGGAGAAACAAAGAGGAGGAGGACAUCUUUUAGUUUUAUUUAUUGUCUGUGUGACGUGUGAACUCGCGUGGAUUUAAGCUGACGGACUCACUGGUCUAUUCGGACCUCGGUGAAGUUUCUGCCGUUGUGCAGCCGGAUGUAGACGACCCCCCAGCGGAGGGCAGCGUUGCUGUGGUGCUGAAGAAGACUUUGGUUUGUCCCAGUCGCAGAAGAGUCUCCCUCCACUGACUCUCAUCAUAACCUGCAGUUUCUACGUGUGUCCACCUACCGAGCACGGGGCAGGACGCCGGUUUGAAGGUCUCGCACUGCAGGCAGCGGCCCUCCAGGAAGUCGCUGUAGGACGAGCAGGGGUAACCCGUGAGGCUGCAGGUCCGGUUCAGGGAGCACAGGAACAGGAACACCGAGCGCUGGUGGUCACACACGAAAUAAGAUUUCCCUGUGGGAGACAAAGCACCACAGUGAGCAGGUUUGCUCCCACAAAUCCAGCCAGGUGAGCUCCCAGACUGACGCCGAUGAGGUGCACCGAGCUCAGAGAGGCUCCUUCCUCCUGCAGACACACGACGCAGAAGGAGUCACCUUCAAGGUAGACAUCUUGUUUUAUUUGUCUAAAGGGGCCAGGACCCCAGGCUGGGAACCACUGCCCUAAAGAACCCUGAAAGCUUUGAGUCAAGAGGUCGAAUACACAAAAACAAAGUGUUCUGCUUGUUUUAGGAACACGUUUUGUUUACAUAGUUCUUUAAAGCUGCAUUCAUUGCUUGUUUUGGCCUCUUGGGAGCAGAAGAACAACCCGACAAACACUGAAACUAACAUAUUUUCACUUCAUACAUUUGUUAAAGUUUCAUAUCCAGCUGUUACAGAGCAGCAUGGUGAUUCAUUGGCAGUCCUGGUGUCCAAUAUUCUCUCUCUUUUAGCUCUGUGUUUGGUCUCCACCACCUCCAUUUAGCUGCUAAAUGCUCAAAAGAAACCAAACCAGGAGCUAAAAGAGGCGCAGAGCCUCACCUGCAUGGUGACGAUGAAGCCGGUCAGGUUGUAAGCCGCCUCCCUGGUGUAGCUGACGGCGAUGAAGUAGUUGAGGUUGGCCGCCCCCUUGUUCCAGUCCACCACGAUCACGUUCAUGUCCUGCUGCUCGGCCAGCAGGUGGACCAGGUGGUCUAUCCAGAUGGGGGGCGCCCCGGUGGGCCGGUAGCCGUGGAUGACGAAGGCGGUGGGGCGGGACAGGUUGAAGAGCGGCUGGGAGGACGGGCGGUGGUGGUCGAGCUUGCGGCCGCAGUCCAGGUUGGAGCGGGUGUAGAGCAGCAGCCGGACGUACAGGCUGGUUCCCAUGAAGCAGUGCGACAGGUUCAGGUCCGUGAAGUUGUCACAGGACUCGGCCUCGCCGGUCUCCUCCUGACCUGGACGCACGAAUAAGACUUUUAGGGUCAGAACGAGAGCUGAGGGACGACGUUAGAGCUGCUCCACAUGCAGAUGAUUCACACAUCUGCAGGAAACUCACGACUUUAAGACUCAAAACCCUCAAAGAUGAGAAACGAUGAAAUGUGUGAGCUGCAGACACGUGAUGCACCGAGUCAAAUAGAUAUCUCUCAAAUGAAAGAGGUUAAAGAGCCUCUGAAGACGGCUGAACACACUAAAUGUUACGCAAAUUUGACGAUGCAAACUGAGGCCAAUAUACGUUGAAAAUGUUCCAACCUGUGUCCUGACAGACUGAGUAUUGUUUCUAAAGUUUCUAUAAUUAUUUAUCACCUGGCUAAAUGUGUCCUGGACAGACACAACUUCAAACAUCUGUGAAUGUAUUAAUCGAUCGGCAGAUGUUUAACCUUUAAUCUGUGACUAAGUCAGCCUCCUGAGUGUUUUCCUCGUCUGACCCAGUUAACUUCUCCUCACUCUUCAUCCUCUUCUCAGGUUCAGAGCUCCACGCCGUCUGACUGGAAGAUGCUGCUGGGAUCAGUUCUUCAUCUGGUUAGUGACGUUUGGAGCUCUUUAGCUCUAUGAUGGGCGGAUUAAACCAGCUGACACAGAGCCUCUCUAGCCUAUUUAAAGUGUCUUUAACCCGUCCUCAGCCUGUAGUUCAGAAUUUGAACUCCAGGCUGAGGACGGGUUGCUGGUUGUUUCCUCACCAAUUAAUCCCGACUGACAUUUAGUGACGUUUUAUCCUUCCUGGCAGACAUCUGUGAAAUGAUCUAGUAAUU